GGGAGAAUGCUCCAACCAACUGAGGUACCUUACUGGAUUCCUAUUUAAGUUUUCACUCUAAUUGUGGAAUGGUUGUUAUGUAGAACUACUGAGUAUAAAAUGUGCGUGUAGCUGAAAAGUCCCGUGGAAACCAGGUGUUGGUGAAGAUCUGAAAAACUGGAAUUCCUGUGCACUGCUGGUGGGAAUACAAAGUGGAAUGACACCUAUAGGAAAUGUAUGGCAGUUCCUAAAAAUAAAAAUAAAAAUAUAAGUAUGCAGUUUUCAUAUGAUCCAGCGAUUUUACUUCUGGAUAUAUACACAAAAUAACUGAAAACGGAUUUGAAGAGUUAUUUGUACAUUCCUGUUACUAGCUGGCAGCAUUAUUCACAAUAGCCAAAGGUGGGGGUAAAAAGAAAUAAAAAUAAAUGGAAAAAUAUCCUCAGGUGAGGAUUUAUCAAAAAAAACAAAAACCUGCAGCUGAAAGACUGAAUAACUGAGCUGAAAUUUUAUCAGAGACAUACUCCUGGGGACAGACUGGAGUUCGAGAAUCUGAAAGGUCAAGGAGUCUUAAGUAAGAGCCCAGCUUUCCAAUUAAAAACCCAGAAGGGCAGUAUCCUAAGGUAAGGACCAGGCCCUAGGAAUAAACGUGAAGCUAAAUAAAUCAGCCUUAUCAAUGCCUCAAACUAAGCCUUGAAAGGGUCAAGGUGAUCUGCCAAUACUCUGCCUGCUAGAAGAAAACAACUUUCUUUGGAGGAUGGUAGCAUCCAAAGUUUCUAUAAUUUUUCAUUAACAAUGUCCAACAUCCAAUACAAAAUUAUAAGGUAUGUGAAAAAUAGAUUAAAAUGAUUAAAAACUAACAAAAAAAGAUAAAUUAACUACACCCAAAAUAAUUUGGUAUUAUUGUUAUUCAGACAGGAAUUUUAAAAAUUACUAUGACUAACAUGUUUUAAAAAAAUAAGAGAAAAAGACAAAAUAGAUGAAAAAGAUAGAAAAUUUCAAAAGAAUUUUGGAAUCUAUAAAAAGAAACAAAUGGAUAUUUUAGAACUAAAAAAUAUAUGUCUGAAAUUAAAGUUACUAAAUGGAUUUAACAGUAGUCUAGAUACAACAAGAAAUAGUGAACUGAAUUGAAAAACAGAUUAUUAGAAAAAUAUUAUACUGAAACACAGUAAGAGAAAAGGAAUUUUAUGAAAUCCAGAACAGAACAUAAUAGAUAUUUAGAACGUAGUCACAUGGCCAAAAGGACAAACUGAAUAAGGCAGAAGUAUAUCUGAAGAGAUAAUGUCCUAAAAUUUCUGAAACAAAUAAAAAGCAUCAACUCACAAUUUUGAAAAGCUCAAUAACCCAGGUAGAAUAAGUACAAAGAAAACUACACCAGGUAUCUUCAUAUAUAAAACCCUAAUAUGCAAAUAGAACAGCGGAACAACUGAACAACCAAACAACCGGUCGCUGUGAGGUGCACUGACCACCAGAGGGCACGUGCAGAACAUGGCAGGCAUCAGAUGCAGUGGGAUGGUGGAGCAGGUGAGUGGGGCAGCCAGACCAAGGCCAGUCCCAAUUGCCCCUGAGGGCUUCUCCACUUCCCCCUGCUCCUGAGGGGUGAUCAGGGCUGGCAGCCACCUCUUGUACCUGCUGCCAGGGACAGCCCCACUUGCACCUGCUGACAGCACUGGCCCCACUCGCACCCACUGCUGGCACUGGCCCCAGUCGCUCCACACUGUCAGCAGGAACGGGGCCGGCGCCAUCAGUGAGUGGGAGCAGUGGCGGCAGAAGUGGGGCUGCCAGCAGAUGGGACUGGGGGCCACAGCGGGAGGGGCCAGGCGGGGGGCACAGAGGGUGGGCCCACCCUCUGUGCCCCACCACAGCCUUGCAGCCCACAGUUCCUUUCAAGGUGCACAAAUUCGUGCACUGGGCCCCUAGUAUCACCAUGAAACUGCAGAAAACAAAGCCACAGAGAAAAAUAUGGAAAUCUGCUAAAGAAUAAAAGACAUUACCUUCAAAGAAGCAACAUUAAGAAUUCCAGCUGACUAUGGAUAUUAGAAAAACAAUGGAAUGAUAUUUAAAAAGAAAGGGGGGAAAAAGUCUUUACCAACCUAGAAAUCCAUCCCCAGCAAAAAUAUACUUCAAACAUUAAUAUGAAAUGAAGAUGUUUCAGACAAACAAAAGCUGAAAGAAUUCAUUGCCAGCAGACCUAUACUAUAUAUAAAAUAUACUAAAAAACUUUUAAAUGAAGAAAAAUAACCUUAAACAAAAGCAUGGAAUUACAGGAAAGAAUAUAGGACACUGAAACGUAUGAAUAUAUUGAUCUAGAAUAUAUUCUGGAAUAAAAGCAGUCCUUUAGAAAUUAUUAAAUUUCACUCCUGUGGUACAUAGUUCUAGAAAAAAAAUAAAAAACAGAACACUGUCCUUGAAAAAAAAAACACCUAACAUGGAAAAAAAAGAUGCUAUUUUAACAUUCUUUGAGCUAGGGACUACUGCUAAAUGCUAGGGAUACAAGCCUGAAUAAGACAGAAGUCCUUGCUCCUCAAAGAGCUCAUAGUCUACUAAUAGCAACAAACUAGCUUCGCCCCCCACACACAUUUACUAAAGGCAAAAUAAGAGACCUGUUUUCAGUCCAAAGUAAUAUCACAUAUACUGUAUAUAUGUACAGUGCAUGUUUGGUUUAUAUGUACUCUCUCUCACAUGAACACACACAUGUAAAAUCUGAUCUUUGUGAAUACUUUGAGAGCUAGGUAAGAUAUACAUUCUCUAUAAUAUAAUUUUACAGAUUAAAAAAACCAAGAUCAGUGAAGUUAAGCAAUGACCUUAUAACUAAUACAAAGCAGAACAGCAUUGUCUUGCAAGAAUGUCUUCUUUCUAUACCUGCUACUCCAUCAUGAUUUGGAACAAAAGACAUUUUUUUGUUUGUUUGUUUUUCUCCAGCUAAGUAUUAUACUUUACUUCAACUAGAAGAUGGUUAACUAAGGCUCUAAUGUAUUUGGAAAUAACUUAUAUUCUUAAUGAAUGAAAAUGGACAACUUCUUUUCUUUCUUUUAUAAACUAAGUCUAUCUACCAAGACCACUGGAUAUUCAGUAUGUCAAGACAGUGCUGCUUUAGCACAAUAUUAUAUCUACUUUGAACUUUGAUAUAUAAGACUUUCAUUUUAUGUGUACACUAGCCACAUCAUUAUAAAUGUAUGGUAAAUUAUACAUGUAUAGUCCAUAUAUAGUCUAUACACAUAUAGUAUAUAUAAUAGUAUAGAGAGAUAUAUAAAAUUCACAGUGAAUGAACUGUUGAACAUCACUCCCUUACACUAUUCAUGUCCCCUGUGAAGCCAGAAGCAAUACCAAUGGUAUUAGUUGUGAAUGUAGUUCUCUCUUCCUAUUUUCCCUUUCACUUGGCUGGAAGGAUUGGUGCCAGGCCACUUGGAGCGAAGACUCUCUCACCAGCUCUAGUACAUAUAUCCUAUUUUGAGCUUUUUUUUUUUUUGGUCUAGGCUCUUAAGAGUUGAGGAAUGGAGUCCUGACCAGUGUGCUCAGUGGAUUGGAGUAUCAUCCUGUACACCAAAAGAAUUCACGGCGAGGCCCUCAGUAGACAGAGAAGUGCAGACGGAACUGGGACCUCCUGCUUCAGCGAGAUCAUGUUUCUCAGUAUCACCUCAAUGAACAGGGAGACCAGGUCUAUACCCUGAAGAAGUUUGAUCCUAUUGGACAACAGACCUGCUCGGCCCAUCCUGCUCGGUUUUCCCCAGACGACAAAUACUCUCGACACCGAGUCACCAUCAAGAAACAUUUCAAGGAAGGUCCCUUAAAUUUCAUGUCCCUCCUGCCACCUGAGACCCCUCUGAGACUUUUCCGAAACCAAGCUUUUCAGUCUGUGAGCCUUGAGGCCUUCUUACCACCCUUGCUCUUUGGAAUUGGUGUCAUCAUUACCUUAGAUCAGUGAUGGCGAACCUUUUGAGCUCGGCGUGUCAGCAUUUUGAAAAACCCUAACUUAACUCUGGUGCCGUGUCACACACAGAAAUUUUUUGAUAUUUGCAACCAUAGUAAAACAAAGACUUCUAUUUUUGAUAUUUAUUUUAUAUAUUUAAAUGACAUUUAACAAAGAAAAAUCAACCAAAAAAAUGAGUUUGCGUGUCACCUGACACGCGUGAUAUAGGUUCACCAUCACUGCCUUAGAUCAUGCUUGUGUGAAGCAAUCAUGGUAGCACCCCCCCUUAAAGAAAACAAGUUUGAGUCUACUUUUCGUAUUUUGACUGCCACGUUAUUAAAAUGAUUUGAAAGAGAAAAAAACAACAGAA